AGGAAUAUUGGUCAAUGGACGGAAGUCUGAACCAGCCAAGUAGCGUGCAGGAUGACGGCCCUAUGGGUUGUAAACUGCUUUUGUAUGGGGAUAAAGUCAAUCACGUGUGAUUGUUUGCAGGUACCAUACGAAUAAGGACCGGCUAAUUCCGUGCCAGCAGCCGCGGUAAUACGGAAGGUUCGGGCGUUAUCCGGAUUUAUUGGGUUUAAAGGGAGCGUAGGCCGGAGAUUAAGUGUGUUGUGAAAUGUAGACGCUCAACGUCUGACUUGCAGCGCAUACUGGUUUCCUUGAGUACGCACAACGUUGGCGGAAUUCGUCGUGUAGCGGUGAAAUGCUUAGAUAUGACGAAGAACUCCGAUUGCGAAGGCAGCUGACGGGAGCGCAACUGACGCCGAAGCUCGAAGGUGCGGGUAUCGAACAGGAUUAGAUACCCUGGUAGUCCGCACAGUAAACGAUGGAUGCCCGCUGUUGG
rnacentral:rRNA from 1 species